rnacentral:misc_RNA from 1 species
GCUGUGUAAUAAGGGACCCACCACCCAUGUGCCCUCCCUCCUGUCUCCACCAGCUCCUGCCGCUCAAUGAUUAGCUCUCUGUUCCCCUUCUCCCUCCUCUCUCUCUAACCCCAAACCAAAACCCUGGUUUUCUCUCUUCCUUCUCUGUAUCUAGUUGCUUCUCGCUGCUCCAACGUCUUGUUUUGCGGUUAGUUUGUGUUCUACUCUAGUGGGUAUGUCGAAUUCUGAUAGUGGAGCAAACAACGGUGGCGGUGUCACCAACGGCGCUUUAAUUGACCAGCAGAGGCAGCAGCCGCCGGGGACUAAUGGUGCCUUGGCCGUGAAAAAGCCGCCAUCUAAGGACCGACACAGUAAGGUCGACGGACGUGGGCGGAGAAUCCGCAUGCCGAUCAUUUGCGCCGCACGUGUCUUUCAGUUGACUCGUGAGCUCGGUCAUAAAUCUGAUGGCCAGACCAUCGAAUGGCUCCUUCGUCAAGCAGAGCCUUCAAUUAUUGCGGCUACUGGGACAGGAACUACUCCGGCCAGCUUCUCCACCGUUUCUGUGGUACGCACGGGAGGUAACUCCAAUUCGCUAUCGUCGAUUUCGUCGUCUACGAAUUCAUCUGCAAUGGACCACAAACCACUGUUGGGACCCACACCAUUUAUUCUAGGGAAGCGGGUGAGGCCGGAGGAUGACAAUAAUGGAGGUAAGGACGACGGUGGGGUUUCAGUUGGCUCCACGGUCGGGUCUUUGGUGGGGUCCGCAGCCGCUGGCGUUGCACCUGGGGGCUUCUGGGCGGUGCCUGCCAGGCCUGAUUUCUGGGGUUUCGCUGCUGCAGCCCCGCCGGAAAUGGUUGUGCAGCCGGCUGCAGUGGCAGCGCAGCAGUCGUCGCUCUUCGUUCAGCAACAUGCAGCGGCAGCAGCAGCAGCAGCAGCUAUGGGAGAGGCAUCCGCGGCAAGGGUAGGAAAUUACCUCCCUGGACAUCUGAAUUUGUUGGCCUCUUUAUCUGGUGGGCCAGGAAGUUCAGGGCGAAGAGAGGAGGAUCCUCGUUGAGAUUGGACAUACGAAUGUGAUGACGACGCUGGUUUCAGUGGUGGCGGUGGUGUUUUAUGGUAUAUAUAUUAAUAGCAUGAGUAUGUGAAUUUGUUGCAUUUUGUUUGUGUGUGAAGAGGAAUGGUGAGCAUGUUACUGAAAUUAGGGGUAACGUCUUUAGGGUUUGUCUUUGUUUUGGGAGAAAAUUCAACUAUGAUUGAAUGUAUGGAUUCAAUUAGUGAGUAGUUUUGUUUGAAGAUUAAUUAGGGUUUCCUUAGGGUUUGAAAUUGCUUAGCUUCUUUAUUUUUGGGGUGUAGGACAAGAGGGGGCGAAAAAUGAUUGGAGUUCUUGUUAUGGGAAGGAAUUAAGGAAUUGGGUUGAUGAGUUGUAGUGCUCAGAGCAAGAAUUUGGUUGGUCAACAAUUACUUGUUGGGGUAAGCUUAGAAGGUUUCUUUCCCAUGUUAUGGCAUGCUUGCUAAUUCGGGUUUGAAGUAUCGUUGGAGUGCAAGGGCUUGGUUCAUAAUUCUCUUUUGUUGAUCACAAAGAAAAGCUAGCUUAUUUGCUCUGCUGCAAUCUGGGUUCUUGUAACCAGAAGAUCCAGAUGAUUAUUUUGAUGAUUCUGUUGUGAUUCUCCACUGUGCCUACAGAUUGUUUUCUUGCUCUCUCUCCCUAUUUCAGAGUUUGUGUUGGUGUACUGAUCUCAAAGGAGACUGGUGUGUGUGUGGGAAAAAGCUCUGGUGCCUCUCUGUAAGACCUCUGUUUUGAAACUUCUUUUUUACUGGAAUUCUUAGCCAUUUCUGUUGGAAACUUUUACCAGUAUUAUUCUUAGUCAUUUCUUAGAUUAAUUAGCGUGAAAAAUAAUGCGUUCCAUGUAUCUACAUAACUGGAUUGUUUCUUUUCUCUUUUUGGGUUGUCUGCUGUGUUAAUAAGAAACCCAUUUGUUUGCUCAGUCUUCCCUCUGUGCUUGCCAUGGUUUUUAAGCUCAAUGUACAUAUAUCAACUUGUUCUGCUAUUAAUAAUCUCACUUGGGUAUUAAAGAUUUUUAUUAUUUG